rnacentral:rRNA from 1 species
UACGUAGGGGGCAAGCGUUAUCCGGAUUUACUGGGUGUAAAGGGAGCGUAGACGGCCAGACAAGUCUGAAGUGAAAAUCCAGCACUUAACGUUGGAAGUGCUUUGGAAACUGCCGGGCUAGAGUGCAGGAGGGGCAGGCGGAAUUCCUAGUGUAGCGGUGAAAUGCGUAGAUAUUAGGAGGAACACCAGUGGCGAAGGCGGCCUGCUGGACUGCAACUGACGUUGAGGCUCGAAGGCGUGGGGAGCAAACAGG